rnacentral:rRNA from 1 species
UACGUAGGGGCCUAGCGUUGUCCGGAUUUAUUGGGCGUAAAGAGCGCGUAGGCGGUUCGGUAAGUCAGGGGUGAAAUCUCCACGCUCAACGUGUAGGCGCCACCUGAAACUGCCGUGACUCGAGUCCGGUAGGGGAGUGUGGAAUUCCCGGUGUAGCGGUGAAAUGCGCAGAUAUCGGGAGGAACACCAGUGGCGAAGGCGGCACUCUGGGCCGGUACUGACGCUGAGGAGCGAAAGCGUGGGGAGCGAACAGG